rnacentral:rRNA from 1 species
CAGUGCCGCGGUAAUACGUAGGGUGCAAGCGUUAAUCGGAAUUACUGGGCGUAAAGCGUGCGCAGGCGGUUAUAUAAGACAGAUGUGAAAUCCCCGGGCUCAACCUGGGAACUGCAUUUGUGACUGUAUAGCUAGAGUACGGCAGAGGGGGAUGGAAUUCCGCGUGUAGCAGUGAAAUGCGUAGAUAUGCGGAGGAACACCGAUGGCGAAGGCAAUCCCCUGGGCCUGUACUGACGCUCAUGCACGAAAGCGAGGGGAGCAAACAGGAUUAGAGACCCGCGUAGUCCCUGUCUCUUAUACA